UACGUAGGGUCCGAGCGUUGUCCGGAAUUACUGGGCGUAAAGAGCUCGUAGGUGGUUUGUCGCGUUGUUCGUGAAAACUCACAGCUCAACUGUGGGCGUGCGGGCGAUACGGGCAGACUUGAGUACUGCAGGGGAGACUGGAAUUCUUGGUGUAGCGGUGGAAUGCGCAGAUAUCAGGAGGAACACCGGUGGCGAAGGCGGGUCUCUGGGCAGUAACUGACGCUGAGGAGCGAAAGCGUGGGGAGCGAACAGG
rnacentral:rRNA from 1 species